rnacentral:rRNA from 1 species
UACGGAGGGUGCAAGCGUUAAUCGGAAUUACUGGGCGUAAAGCGUGCGUAGGCGGUUCGUUAAGUCUGUUGUGAAAGCCCCGGGCUCAACCUGGGAAUGGCAAUGGAUACUGGCGAGCUAGAGUGUGUCAGAGGAUGGUGGAAUUCCCGGUGUAGCGGUGAAAUGCGUAGAGAUGGGAGGAACAUCAGUGGCGAAGGCGGCCAUCUGGGACAACACUGACGCUGAGGCACGAAAGCGUGGGGAGCAAACAGG